rnacentral:lncRNA from 1 species
ACCAUACAGGGGAACACUCGGCAGAGCCAGAGGCCUGGGCCCAAGUCCUGCCACCAGCUGGCUGUGAAACUGUGGUACAGCACCUUGUGUCCUGCCACCAGCCGGCUGUGAAACUGGUACAGCACCUUGUCCUCAGGUCCUUGGUUUCCUCACUUGUAAAUUCAUGGUUCUCCAUGGCAUCUCUGGUCUUCAACAUUAUUUUGCAUAGAGUCUCAGAAGCUUUAGUGUGAGCGGAUGAUAUGGGCACGAAGCAAGGCACCCAGAAGUGGGGGCAACUACUCUGCUUUCUAAAAUGCAAGGGAACCGGAAAAUCCAGGAGCCGUGCCAAAUGAGAAGAGGAACAAAUGGAGGAACAUCCCAGUCAAGUGACAUUCCUAGUGACAUUCACCAGAACAGAGUCAAGCUUUGGAUCCCAUGUUCUGUGACUUCCUCUUCACCACGCUUCCUCCACACACGUAGCAGCUCAAGGGUUUCUGAUGAGUGGGAGCCCUUGGACAGGAGGCGUUGCAGGUGCCGGGCAUUGGAGGGACCU